GACGAACGCUGGCGGCGUGCUUAACACAUGCAAGUCGAACGGAAAGGCCCUGCUUUUGUGGGGUGCUCGAGUGGCGAACGGGUGAGUAACACGUGAGUAACCUGCCCUUGACUUUGGGAUAACUUCAGGAAACUGGGGCUAAUACCGGAUAGGAGCUCCUGCUGCAUGGUGGGGGUUGGAAAGUUUCGGCGGUUGGGGAUGGACUCGCGGCUUAUCAGCUUGUUGGGGGGGUAGUGGCUUACCAAGGCUUUGACGGGUAGCCAGCCUGAGAGGGUGACCGGCCACAUUGGGACUGAGAUACGGCCCAGACUCCUACGGGAGGCAGCAGUGGGGAAUAUUGCACAAUGGGCGGAAGCCUGAUGCAGCAACGCCGCGUGCGGGAUGACGGCCUUCGGGUUGUAAACCGCUUUCGCCUGUGACGAAGCGUGAGUGACGGUAAUGGGUAAAGAAGCACCGGCUAACUACGUG
rnacentral:rRNA from 1 species